rnacentral:lncRNA from 1 species
UGAACGUUAUGUGCCAUGAGUCAUUUUUACUAUCGUAUGUAGUUCAAAUACCCAUUAUCUCUCAAAUAUUAUAUUACAUACAUUUUUAUUGUUGAAAUGUUUGGCUGAUAAAAAUCGGUCCGGGUUAUCGGGGGCCGACUUAUCGGGAUUCCACUGUGUACCCACAAUUGUACCAUUUCCUCCCUACAAGGUGUCUCAAACAUUUGUUUCAGUUAAAACACAUGUUAAACAAUAACACCGUAUAUUUUCUUUGUUUCUAAAUAUAUCAGGGAUAAUCAAAAAACAAAAUGUUCAAAAAACAUAAUACUAUAAUACGAUUUCGAUGUAUACUCACACUUGUACCUUGUCCUCCCUACAGGGUGUCUCAAACUUAACAUAAGAAAAACAUUUCUUUUCUUCUACCCGGUAUAAGGUAUAAGUACAAAAAAAAGUGAGUAAACAUUUGCCAAAAUGUGUAAAUACCAAAGGAAAAUAUAAAAUAAUAAAAAAAUUAGCAUAAUCCGUUAAUCUGUCUAUGAAAAAAUCAUCUAUGAAAAUGAACAUAAAUUUAGGUGAUGCAUAACUUUUGAAACUAUGUUUAUUUAAUUGUAGAUUUAAUUUAUGUGUAUGUUUAGUGUCAUUGUUAUGUAUGUAAAUACAAAAUGUUCUUGUUGUUGUUAUACAAAUUUGCUAUUUGUGUGUGAUAAUUGAUUGUAAAUAAUAAGCACUUUGUAAUAUAUAAGCACACCCGAUUUUAUCA